AUCUUUAAUAUUUGGGUGUGGUUAGUGUAUGUGAAGUAUUUCUCUUUUGUGGGUUUUUUUCAUUAAGUUGUAGCUAUUGUGGGUUUAAUGUUUUGUUGGAUUUAUGUUGAAAUUCAUUGUUCUAGACCUAUUUAACUUGAAAUUGAUGUUGUAUUUCUUGUCCAUGAGUUAUUCAAGUUGAACUUUGGGUCUCUAAUUUAUUGGAUUUCAAGUUGUAAUUUUCUGAGUAUGAGCAGUGCUACUGUUUUUGUUGAGUAUUUGAUUCAAUUAUCAGAGUUGGAUAAUUAUAGAGACAGACUGAGUUUGGCUACUAUUCUUACUAGAAAUUGUUGUGAAAUCGAAGGAAAUAGAGGGUUGCAGGUUUGCUUGUGAAAAAUGAGAAGUUUUUAUGUUCUUUUCUUCAAAAACUGAAGGUUCUGUUCUGAAAUUUUUGAGGUUAUAGUUGAAGAAACUUCAUUUGAACUUUCGAGAUUUUGUUCUUGAAUCUCUUCUUUUGUCUUUAGUAUUUGGAUGUUUUUUUUAGUUUAGUGUAGUAAUGAACUUGGCAGAGAAUCUCACUAAUCAAAUUGUAGUGUAUAGUAUCACAGCAAGCUCCUAGUUCAAUCUAUGGGCAGCUUCCUUGGCAAGAACUCUUUCCUUGGCCUUGGUUCUGGCAUGUGACUUAGAGCCCAUGAUAUCACCACCCGACUUCUUCCUGUUCUCUUGAAGUUAGCCUCAAUGGCCUUCAAAAUUCUGCUGAACUACAUUUUGUCCUCAUACUUCACAGUUGUCAAACACAAGGCUGAAGCAGUUUUCUUAUGCACGAUCGAUCCUAAACGAGCUUUUCCCUUCACAAUGCAUUAAAAAUUUCCAUCUUUCUGCAUAGCGUAGGAAGCUAGACAACCAACUUUAUUGGGUCCACGUCAUGAGCAAUCACUACCAACUGAGCUUUGUUCUGCUCAAUAAGAAAAGUGAUGUGCUUAAGCACAUGCUUCACAAUAAUGGGUUUCUUUGUUUCAGGAGUCUUUCCUUCUUCUUCAGCUUGAGCCCCUUUGUGAAUUAGUAUUUGGAUGUGGUUAGUGUAUUUGAUGUAUUUCUCUAUUUGUGGGUUCUUUUUCAUUAAGUUGUAGCAAUUGUUGGUUUAAUAUUUUAUUGUAUUUAUGGUUAAAUUGAUUGCUGAUCUAGACCCAUUUAAAUUGAAAUUGAUGUUGUAUUUGUUGUCCAUGAGUUAUUCUAUUUGUGGGUACUAAAAUGUGCUACUGGUUUCACACAAAUGUGAAAGGAAUUGAAUAUUAUAGUAAGUUCUUCUUGUUUGUAAUUUCAAGUUGAACUUUGGGCCUCUAAUUUAGUGGAUUGCACAUUAAAAUUUUCUGAGCAGGGCUAUUGAUUCUGUUGUGUUUUAAUCUGAUUUGAGUAAUGAACCAGUGAUUUAACAAGACAUACUGGUAACAGUUCUCAAAAAUGACUUAUUUGUCUGCAUCUUUAUUUUCUCUGUUUACAUAUGUUGUUUUAUGGGUAUUUGAUUUAAUUAUCAGAAUUGGAUAAUUAUAGAGACAUACACUGUGUUUGAGUAUUCUUUUCUCUAGAAAUUGUUGUGAAAUCGAAGGAAAUGGAGGAAUGAAGGUUUGCUUGUGAAAUCUUGAUAUUUUUUUCUUCAACAAUUGAAGGUUCUGCUCUGACAUCUUUGAGGUUAUAGCUGAAGAAACUUCAAGUUUGAUCUGUUGAGAUAUCAAUGGAUAAUAUAGAUAGAAGUUGGAUGAGUAUGAGACGAUGGAGUGAUAAAUAUAAUAGUGGAGUGAAUAAUUUUUUUAAUAAGGCAUUUCAACGAGCUUCAAAAGGCAAUGAAAGUUAUGCCCUUGCAAAAUAUGCAUCAAUCGUUAUUGGCAUUACAAAAAUGUGGUGGAGGAUCACUUGAUUGUAAAUGGAUUUGUGAAUGGAUACAACAAAUGGAUUUUUCACGGGGAGAGAGUUUCCUCAUGAAAUACACAAUUUUCAUGAAGCCAUGAUGAUAUUGAUGGACUACUUCAUGACACAUUUUGAAAUAUAGUGGGUGAAACAAGUCAUGGUGAAGGAGAGAGAGAAGAUCUAUCUGAAGAUGCAAAGAGAUUUUUAAAAUUAAUGGAUGAAGGGAAAAAAGAGUUAUAUCCAGGGUGUGAGAACUUCAUUAUGUUGAGUUUCAUCAUUCGGUUAUACUUGCUAAAAUUCCUACAUGGGUUGAGUAAUGUGGCUUUUACUGAUCUGUUAGACUUGUUAAAAGAAGCAUUCCCUUUGCUCAACUGCCCGACUCUUUCAAUAAAUCUAAAAAAAUGAUAAAAGAUUUGGGUAUCGACUAUUACAAAAUACAUGCAUGCCUUAACGAUUGCAUGUUAUUUUGGAAUGAAAAUGCAGAGAAAGAUAAUUGCUCUGUGUGUGGCUCUUCUAGAUGGUCAAAUGAGGGUGAUGACACGACAAAUGCAACCUCUAAAACACCAACAAAGAUUUUAAGGUACUUAGCUUUAAAGCCUAGGCAUCAGAGAAUGUUUAUGUGUCCUAAAACAGCUGUUGAAAUGAGAUGGCAUGAUUCUGAAUGACCUAAUGAUGGGAAUUUGAGGCAUCCUGCUGAUGGAGAAGCUUGGAAGGAUUUUGAUUCUAUGCAUCCAAACUUCUCAAAUGAUCCUCGUAAUAUUCGAUUGGGGCUUUCAAGUGAUGGUUUCAUUCCAUUUCGAACCAUGAGCAUUUCCCAUAGUACCUGGCCUGUUAUGUUGAUGAAAUAUAAUUUAUCACCGUGGAUUUGCAUGAAGCCAGAGUAUACGAUGUUGUCAAUGAUCAUUCCAGGGCCAUCAUCUCCUAGACAAGAUAUAGAUGUGUACCUACAAUCAUUAAUUGCUGAAUUGAAGGAACUAUGGGAAUUUGGGAUAGAAACAUAUGAUGCUCAUACAAAUUAAACAUUUCAAAUGUGUGCAACUUUAUGUGGAAAAUUAGUGAUUUUCCAGUGCUAUCAAUGCUUUCCGGAUGGAGUACUAAGGGAAAAUUAGUGUGCCCCACAUGUAACUACGACACAUGUUCUCAAUAUCUCAAACAGAGUCGUAAAAUGUGUUACUUAGGUCAUCGGGCUUUUUUGCCUCGUGAUCAUCCAUUUAGAAGAGACAAAAAAUCUUUUAAUGGAGAGGAGGAUCAUAGACCUACACCUACAUCCUUGUCGGGCAUAGAAGUGUUUGAAGAGUGGGUUGAUUUUGAUAAUGUUUUUAAAAAGGCCAACAAGAAAAGAUGUCGAAAUAAUGAGGGUUCAUGGAAGAAAAGAUCUAUCUUUUUUGAAUUACCAUAUUGGAAACAUAAUAAGUUGAGGCACAAUCUUGAUAUGAUGCAUAUUGAGAAAAAUAUAUAGUUUGCUUGGGACUUUAUUAGAUAUCCCAGGAAAGUCAAAAGAUCACAUUAAUUCUCAUUAUGACUUGCAAUAAAUGGGGAUACGAAAGGAGCUUCAUCCAAGGAAAGAUAAUACAAAUGGAAAAGCUCAUUUAGCUAAAUCUUGUUUUACCAUAAAGCCAGAAGAAAAAUGAUUAUUUUGCACCGUCUUAAAAAAUGCAAAAUUACCAAAAGGAUUUGCCUCAAACAUAUCAGAUCGUGUGGAUGUGGGUGAGAUGAAAAUAUCAGGGUAUAAAAGCCGUGAUACUCAUUUUAUAAUGCAUUACUUGAUCCAAAUUAUGGUUCGAAAAGGAUUGCCGAAGAAUGUUUCAUUAGCCUUGAUUAGAUUGGGGAACUUCUUUAGAACCUAUAUGCAGUAAGGUUAUAAGGCGAGCAGAUCUUGAGCCAAUGCAGAUUGAAAUCAAAGAAAUUGUAUGUGAGUUUGAAAAGAUUUUUCCUCCAUCUUUUUUUGAUAUAAUGGAACGUUUGGCUGUACAUUUGGUUGAUGAAAUUAGAAUGGGUGGUCCAAUUCAUCUUCGGUGGAUGUAUUCCAGUGAGAGAAAAAUGUGUAAGUUCAAGGGUCUUGUUCGUAAUCGACGUUAUCCAGAAGGUUGUAUAGCAAAAGGGUUUGAUGUUGAAGAGUUCUUGAUCUUUGGUUCGAGAUACCUACAUUAUGGAGUGAAGACACCAUUCAGUAGGUACCGAACUGAGUAUGACGAGGUUUUUGAAAAAGAGGGAGAUGAUUUGUCCCUUUUCUUCCUAAGCUUGGGCAUCCAGUUGGAAAUGGAAAGACUUUUACCAUGGAUCUAGAGUUAUCUAGUGAAGUAUAUCGAUAUGUUCUCUUCAAUACUGGUGAUGAAGAAGUGCAAGAAUUUAUCAAGGAGCAUAAGAUGUUAAUUGAUAGUAAUAUUAGAUCAAAUGCAUGGACAAGAGCAAAGAGUCAUAGUCAGAAAUUUGUCAAAUGGUUCAAAGAGAAAGUUAAAAAUGUUGAAGUGCCUAAUCAGUUAAGAUGACUAGCUAAAGGGCCUAAUAGAGUGGCAACCAAAAUAUAUAAUGCAUAUUUCAUAAAUGGAUACCGAUUUCAUACAUUAAAACGUGAUUACUCAUGCAAGUCUCAAAAUAGUGGAGUGACUUUAUCAGCGACAACUGAUAGUUUUUCUAGUGCUCGAGAUUAGAAUCCCAUUGAUGAAGAGGUUAUAUAUUAUGGGGCUAUUCAAGAUAUCAUUGAGGUUGAUUAUUACAAUUGUUUUAGUGUGUACUAUUUAGAUGUGAUUGGUUUCAUCAUAAUGAAGUAGAUUAAUAUGGGUUAACUCGUGUGUACUUCAACAAAUUACGAGGUACAGAUGACCCUUUUGUGUUGGCGUCUCAAGUGCAUCAAGUAUUUUAUGUGGCGGAUCCAAUUGAGAAGGAUGUUUAUUAUGCAAGGAAUAAAGUGCCUAUUGAUUUGUAUGACUCGGAGGAAGAAAAUUGUCUUAAUAUUGGAGAUAAUUGAGAGAGCCAAGUGAAGACAUUGGUCCCUCAUAUAGAUUAUCCGAAGUUGACAUGGGAUGGUCAAGAGACGAUGUUCCUAUUGAUGUUGUUGAUAUGUCAUCUAAUGCUCAAUUUUCAGAGGAUACAACUAUGGGAACGUCGGAAGAGGAGGAUGACCAUGAUGAUACAGAUUGGGAUUGGAUGUAUGCGGAUGAUUAAUAAAGCACAAGUUGUGCAGAAAGAAGUGCCAUAAGCACCUAUGAAUUCUUCCACUGUAGUAGCACAAGUUUCAGAGGAACAAUUUCAACAUGUUCCAAGAGAAUCUCCUAUUGUAGAGGCCCGUGAUAUACAAGACCAAGUGGAUCAACAAACACAGAAUUCAAAAGAAAAUGACCUAUCAUGAGAACUAGGCCCUGUAACUAAAAAAAAAGAGGUAGUACAGUAAUGCAAAGUGUACAUGGGCGAAACGAGCGUAAGUUGGUUGUGUUGAAUAGGUAUAAUCAACCCAUUGGUCCUACUAAUAACAUGUUCCAAGAGAAUCUCCUACUGUAGAGGCACGUGAUAUACAAGACCAAGUGGAUCAACAGACACAGAAUUCAGAAGCAAAUGACCUAUCAUGAGAACUAGGCCCUGUAACUCAAAAAAAGAAAAGAGGUAGUACAGUAAUGCAAAGUGUACAUGGGUGAAAAGAGCGUAAGUUGGUUGUGUUGAAUAGGUACAAUCAACCCAUUGGUCCUACUAACGCUGUUGUAACAAAGUUGGGGAGUUUUCUUGGAACCUUGGCAAGGAAUGCGAUGCUUUGUCCUCUAAACAUUCAUAAUUGGAAGAAUAUGGACACAAAAGAUGAUUUGUGGGACUAUAAUCUAGUUUGAGUUCCUGCAUUUCCAAUUUCAGUUAUAAACAUUUCAUACUUUUUACUAAUAUAAAGAACAAAUUACAGGAGAAAUAUGAUAUUCCGAAAAGUGCAAAACUGUGGGCUUUGGAUGGAAUUAAGAAUGCUCGGAGGAAGUAUAAGAAUGACUUGUAUCGAAAACAUUGUAUAAGAACGACUUGUAUCGAAAACAUUAUAAGUCAUAUGAUAAUGAUGAUCUUCGAAUGGAAAAUAAGCCCAAAGAUGUUUCAGAAUUUGAUUUUAAGGAUUUUUUCAAAUAUUGGGCCUCUGAAAAAUUCAAGAAAAUGAGUGAAAGAAAUACCAAAAAUCGAAAACAAUUGAUGAAUCCACAUACUGCUGGUAAAACAAGUUUUGCUGUGAGACGCAAUAAUUUGGAAAAGGAGAAGGAAAGUCCCGACGAGGUGUCAUCUAAAGAAUUUUUUGUGGCUACAAGAUCAACAAAACCUGAUCGAGUAUACAAGGACUCCAACAAAGAUACAAUCAGUAAAAUUGUAUGAAUUUUACUAGGUUAUAAGGUUGUUAAGAUACAUUAUUUGUUCUUAAAUACAUGAUUUUGAAUUUGAUUUGCAUGCUGAAAUGGAGAAACUGCAAGGUCAACAGAGAGAAGAUGACGAUAAAUCAUUUGAUGCUUUUACAUCAGUCAUGGGAAAGGAACACCCAGGGAGUCUGAGAUUGUAUGGACGAGGAGUUACCAAAACUAGUUUGAAAAGGAAAGCGCUCUCUGAACCUUGUUCAACUUCUAAUGAUGAGAGGAUGGAAAAAAUGGAGGAAUUAGAAGAGAGGAUGCAUCAAAGGAUGUUGGAAAUAUUAGAACAACAAAAAGAAGCUAUACACCAAGAAGUUACAAAUGAUAUUCUUGGACGACUUAAGUGUAUGUACCCAGGACUUCAAUUAAAUGCUGCACAUUGGCCUCAUUGGGUGCUCAAUCACCAUUAGAAGAUAUGCAACUGUUAAAUCAUCAAUCUUCUAGCAAAAACAAUCAAGGUGGAGAAGAUAACCAGGUGGAGGAGGAUGAAAGUAGUAGUGAUGAAGACCUUACUUGAUAUAUUUGAAACUUAAUUUUGUUAAGCCGGAGGAUGAUGAAAGCAUUAGAAUCUUAUUAAUUUAGAUCAAUUCUCUUUUGUUUCUUUUCAUUUUGAGUCUUUUGUUAAGAAACACUCUUUUAUUUUAAUAUCUAUUAGUAUGGAAGUACAAAUACUGUUUUGUUUUGGUAUA